GAUGAAGAACGUAAGCGAAAUGCGAUAAGUAAUGUGAAUUGCAGAAUUCAGUGAAUCAUCGAAUCUUUGAACGCACAUUGCGCCCCCUGGUAUUCCGGGGGGCAUGCCUGUUCGAGCGUCAUUUCACCACUCAAGCCUCGCUUGGUAUUGGGCAACGCGGUCCGCCGCGUGCCUCAAAUCGACCGGCUGGGUCUUCUGUCCCCUAAGCGUUGUGGAAACUAUUCGCUAAAGGGUGUUCGGGAGGCUACGCCGUAAAACAACCCCAUUUCUAAGGUUGACCUCGGAUCAGGUAGGGAUACCCGCUGAACUUAAGCAUAUCAAUAAGCGGAGGA
rnacentral:misc_RNA from 1 species